UACGUAGGGGGCAAGCGUUGUCCGGAAUCAUUGGGCGUAAAGAGCGUGUAGGCGGCCAGGUAGGUCGGUUGUGAAAACUGGAGGCUCAACCUUCAGACGUCGAUCGAAACCAUCUGGCUAGAGUCCGGGAGAGGAGAGUGGAAUUCCUGGUGUAGCGGUGAAAUGCGCAGAUAUCAGGAAGAACACCCGUGGCGAAAGCGGCUCUCUGGAACGGUACUGACGCUGAGACGCGAAAGCGUGGGGAGCGAACAGG
rnacentral:rRNA from 1 species